rnacentral:rRNA from 1 species
GCCUGCCCAGUGAAACUUUCAACGGCCGCGGUAUCCUAACCGUGCAAAGGUAGCGUAAUCAUUUGUCCCCUAAAUAGGGACCAGUAUGAACGGCUAAAUGAGGGCCAACCUGUCUCCUUUGACCCAUCAGUGAAACUGAUCUACCAGUACAAAAGCUGGUAUAAGCCCACAAGACGAGAAGACCCUGCGGAGCUUUAAAUCAAAGCCAACAGGCCCAACCAAAGCCCCUGCCUGGCCUAAGAUUUUCAGUUGGGGCGACUUCGGAACAAAACCCAACUUCCGAGCAAGGACCUUAAAUCCCACCCAGACCGACAGGUCAAACAACAUGACCCAGUAACACUGAUAAACGAACCAAGUUACCCCAGGGAUAACAGCGCAAUCCUCUUAAAGAGUCCCUAUCGACAAGAGGGUUUACGACCUCGAUGUUGGAUCAGGACACCCAAUUGGUGCAGCCGCUA